rnacentral:lncRNA from 1 species
GCGUGCUGGGAGCAGCGCGUGGCUGAGUGGGACAGACGCCGUCUGAGAAAGUUAGAGGGGAUUUUAAGCGUUGUUCUCAGAACGCGGUGUGAGGGCUGGAGAGAAAGCACGGAAUUAUAUGUUUCCAAGGAUGAGGACGGAGCGGGCGGUGGCAGCCUUGUGGUGACAUGUGUAUUGCUACACCAGGAGCGCUGUGUGGCAACGAGCCCCGCCGCAGCCCCGCAGAGAGGAGGCUUACAUAAGGUGCGGUGAUGAAAGCAACGACCCAUUGAUUCUGAGAAGAAUCUGAGAAAGAAUUCAGUGAAAAAGUAAGAGAAAAAGAGGGUGUGCACAUCUUUUAACCAGUUUCAAAGCAGGUUUUAUUAAAGGGUGCAUGCAGGUUGGCAAGCUAAGGUGAUGUGAUUUGUAAGUGACUUCCUUAAGGUCACACACUAAGUCAGUGACACAAGUGGAAAGUGAAUAAAGUUUCCUGAGCUCUAGUGCAGCAACCCAACCUAUUGAAUCCAACUUCAGGUAGCUGGAGUUCAUUUUAUUACCAUCAUCUAUAUUUCAACGUUCCCUCUGCUAUAUUCUUCCCAGUUCCUUGAGGAAGCCAAUUCCUUGUGGUAGAUAUUACAGCAGUGACAAGGCACUGUGCCAUCAGGUUAUUUCAUAGCACAUCACUUCUGAAGUGAGUGAACCUCCUGGUUUGUUCUUUCCUUCCUCAUUCCAGUGAAUUCCAGAUCGUGCUUCCUGCUGACAUGAAUGAAGGCAGCAUCCUCAGCAUUGUUUGCUCCCUGUUGGGAAGUGGUUUGUGCCAAUUCAGUAUGGCAGCAAUCUUAAAGUUGCAAACUAUCAUAUUCAAAAGUUAGACCAUCCUACACUUGAUGCAUAAUUAUGAUUUUUUAAAGAUAACCUUGCUUCAUCCUGCUCUGCUUUGUUUCGCCUUCUGUGCCUGUUUCAGUGUAUAAGCAUACAGUCACAUAAAUCAGCACAUUUAUUUGUUUUCUACUGUUGCUCAAGGAGAGAUUCGAUUCUUGUUUAUUGCAUGCUAUUCUUCAUCAUUUCAACGUGAUCUCUUCAUUGCAACUUAUCACUGACAACUGAACUGCCCAAGAAGACCUGUGUCCUGCUCAGGAGGAGGGUACUAUUAGCACAUUUUCAUAGAGAGAAAGUUGCCUCAGAGAAAUUAAGUUCAAAAGUAACUGCACAUCAGUUUGGAAUGCAUGGAAUCUCCUCAUCAGGAUAUUUAUCAUAAUGCAGCACUUCAUCCAUUCAACACACAACUCCUGUUGAUAGUAAUCCGAAUUAUGUGCACUCAAACUAAGGAUUUCAAUCCGUGAAUUCAGAACUCAUUUUAUCUUAAUAAAUAAAAUAAAUGAAAUUAAAUGAAAUUAUGAAAUAAAAUUUGUUGAGGAUGAUUUCUUGCUUGACAGUGUUAGAACAAUAAUAUCCAAGUAAAAAUGUAUUUCUCUUAGCCCUGAGGAAAC